rnacentral:lncRNA from 1 species
AGAUGGAAGAAUGAAAAGGCUGACGCCUGACGGCAAAUACAUUGAGUAAGAGAACAAAGAUUAACUUCGCAAAUUCAUCCGACUUUAUUGUGGUGGCAUCGCUAUCAACCAUUACCGCAGCAGUGCGUCAGAAUGUAGUCCUGUCACAACUACAUUGGCUGAUAUAAUGUCAACCGUCUCGUUAUUUUGUUUGACCACGUCCUCAACCUAUAAAAACUAAGACAACUACAGCUUACCCAGUUUGCAUAGGUUCUUGUAUAUUCUUCUGUCCAAUAAUGCCAAGGGGUGUUACUUCAGCAUUCCGCUGGUCAUGAUCUUUAAAGAUCUUUGACCAUCGAAAGUAACUUGCAAUGUGUCAUCUGCACACCUAACCAUAGACUUUACAGAUUGAAAAUAGGAAUCUCAUCUCAGUAUUUGUGAUAUUUCACAUUUCAUGUUUUUCAGCUAGCAGACUAGAGUUCAAUGCAGUAAAAUACCAAAAAAAUUCUUAAUAUGCACGCAAACUGAAGCUGCUUUAAGAAGUAUAUUUAUUUUUACUACAAUUUAUAAAUUUUCACUUCCCUUUUAUAAGUGUCUUUUAAAAUGCCAAUCAACAUUCUGUAAGCAUACUUUGCACUCCACUCUCGGCUUAAUGCACAUGAAAUGUUGUCUAUAAAGUAACUUCUUAAAAGACAUACUAGCAGCUAAACUAGAGUACUGAUAGAGCUCCCAUAUCUUUUUUAUUUUUUUAUAUAAUUUUUUAAUUCAUGAUUUCUGGGAUACUGAAAUUUGGCCAUCAUAUCAAAUAAUCAACAUUUUAAACUUACUAUCUUACUUAACCAGCGGCUUAAUCAAGUCUAACACAAAUACACAAAAGUAUGACAUAAAGAUACACACCAUAGUCUAAAUACAUAUUCUUCUACGUGUGUGAUUAAAUAUGUAUAAACCUAUUUGAACUUUUCUACUUGAUGUCUUGAUUCAUGGUAAGUCGUAAAAAUCGUUUCCACUCAUAAUAGGGACUACCAGAACUAGUAAGAAAGGUGUAAAUUGUGUUUCCCAUAUUUCGCUCACAGUUAAUAUACAUAGUUAAUGAAUGUAAGCAAUUCUAUCUAGAUCUUUGAAAAGAAUUGCAUACUGCAUACUUCUGUAUUGUAGUUCAGUUGAUUUUAAAUGCAUCUCCAUAAAUGAGGGAGAUGAGCAACACUUUCCAUGCUGAGUGAUUUACCUAGUAUAAUUGAAUAUAAUUAAUUUACAUUGUCAUGUACUUUCUAGCUAUCUUAUCUUCCACACUUCGAGCUGAACCAUUAAAUAAACGAAAGUAAAAUAAUAAAUGAGAGGCAAGAAAAAUAUGCAGAUAAGAUAAACAGUAAACUGUAAGAGAUUCAAGGGCAUAAAAAUACUAAAGAUAAAGGGAACAAUGUUAGAUAAGGAAAAAUUAUUUAGAGUGCCUACAAAAGUUGCAUUUUCAUCUGAUCCAUUCAUAUAGUAGCUUCGGUAUAAAGGAGCAAAAGGUGUCUGAAUCAUGUCUGACGUCAAUCUCACCAAGAUACUUAUUAUGUCUAGUUUGACAUGAGGUGGAAAGGGAAGAAGGAGACAAGUCUAACCCCAACCACAUGCAAUAACAGAACUGGAAAUGACAAUCUAUAUAGAUGCUACGCCACAAGAAGGUGAGUUGCUACGGAAAAUGACUUGAAGAUAUAGUAAGAAAUGGAAAUAUACAAUUUGGGAGAAGUUUAACAGAAAAAUAGCAACUAAAGUUCCACUGUAAUGCACGAUGAAGAAAGUUCUGUUGGAAAAAAGAUUGAGACACACAUAAAAGAUGCACACAUGCAUGCAUGAAAUUAUAGACAAUGGUAGCACAGAGGAACCAGAAAUAAGAAAAUAUGCAGCCCUAAUCAGAAUUGUUAAAGCAUUUGAACAAUGCAACUAUGCGCUACAUGUAACAUCUAACGCAAAGAUAAUAUAAGAUCAAUUGGCUGUGAAUGCCUUAUAUAACGCAAUGAAAUGCACAGUACUUACUAUAAGAAGUACUGAGAAGUUAAGACAAUGCACAGCUAGCUUCAAAUAGCAUAAUUGUAUAAUCACAUUAAACCAAAUUUUUUUUUAUCAGAACUUAAAAAUGCAAAAUCAAAAGGAACCCCCAUAAAAAAAGGACAAAUCAACCAAACUGUAGGGCAAUGAAAUGUAAGUCCACAAAAUGUCAAAAAUUAACCAUGAAAUUAGUAUUGUAUGAAAAAAAACCCAUAGAGAUUAAAAUCCGUUAAAAUUUUAAAAUCAAGUUUGAUAUUCAAAGAUCUGACUUAUUAAAAAUGAAGAUGCAAAUUGAAAUCCAGGACAAAUUGAUCUAUACAUCAAGAACCCAAGAUCCAUCAUUACACACUCACACAUCCGUGCAUCUAUCUACACUAGUAUUUGUGGCGCACACUAUGUGUGUGCAAUUAAAAAAAAAAGAUAAAUAAAUAAAAUAUUUGGGUAAGAUUUGUAAACUAUGCGUGAGAAAACAUGGGAGAGAUUUUAGGAAUAAAGAGUGGGAGAGAUAAAGGAAGUUUAAAAAGUGACACAGCUUCGCAGUUAAUUUUUUUGCUAUCCUUUAAUAAAUUAGAAUAAAUGUAUCCAAAAGAGACAAUUAUCAGAAAUUGAAAGCACAAUCCAAACAGUAGGACUAUGAAAUGUGAGUUAUCAAACAAAUUUCAAUUUGUUUCAAUUUUAUACAAAUAUAUCAACUUUUUUACACUUGAUACGAUCUUUAUGUUUGAAACACAAGUAUCUGUUUAAUAGCAAACCAAUCAGCAAACUGAAAUCAAGGACAAACUGAUCUAACCAUCAAACUUCCAGGAUUCAGCAUACACACACACUCAAACAUCUGUACAUCAUGCAAAAGAGACUAAUCAACCAAGCAGUAGGGCAAUGAAAUGUGAGUUAUCAAACAGAUUACAAUUUGUUUCAAAUUUUACUACUCAAGUUUGAUAUACAAAUAUAUCAAACCUUAUGCACUUGGUACGCUCUUUAAGUUUGAUAACCAAAGAUCUGUUCAAUUACAAAUGAAUCAGCAAAUCGAAAUCAAGGACAAACUGAUCUAAACAUCAAAACUCCAGAAUCCAGCAUAAACACACUCAAUCAUCUAAGCAUCAUCCGAAAGAGAUUACACGAACAAUAACAAAAGGGGAUUUCAAUUCUAAAACUUCUACAAUCAAAUAAGAGAACUUCAUAUACAUAAAUCAUCUAUACAUAAUUUUCGAUUCAAAUUUCAUCAACAACAUACCUUCGUCCUACUUCUCAGCCUUGUAUCUGCGCUUACACAAACCCUAACUCUCUUUCUCUCUCUCUCAAGCUACCAAAUCUCUCUAUAUUUUCUCUCUUCCGAAAUGCACAAAACCCUCGCUCAAUUUUGUCUCUAUUUGUAGGUGCUUCCGUCACCGCUAUGCCUCACUCUGCGACACGCAUACACACCCAAACACACUUUCUCUCUCUAAAAAGCUCAUACGCGUACACAGAUGAUUAGAUACAGAUAUAGUUAUAGAUAUAGAGAGAGAGUACAUGCAAAUCCAGCCAAACCAAUAAAAUAGAUGGAAAUUUUAC